rnacentral:rRNA from 1 species
GAUGAACGCUGGCGGCGUGCCUAAUACAUGCAAGUCGAGCGAACGGACGAGAAGCUUGCUUUUCUGAUGUUAGCGGCGGACGGGUGAGUAACACGUGGAUAACCUACCUAUAAGACUGGGAUAACUUCGGGAAACCGGAACUAAUACCGGAUAAUAUUUUGAACCGCAUGGUUCAAAAGUGAAAGACGGUCUUGCUGUCACUUAUAGAUGGAUCCGCGCUGCAUUAGCUAGUUGGUAAGGUAACGGCUUACCAAGGCAACGAUGCAUAGCCGACCUGAGAGGGUGAUCGGCCACACUGGAACUGAGACACGGUCCAGACUCCUACGGGAGGCAGCAGUAGGGAAUCUUCCGCAAUGGGCGAAGGCCUGACGGAGCAACGCCGCGUGAGUGAUGAAGGUCUUCGGAUCGUAAAACUCUGUUAUUAGGGAAGAACAUAUGUGUAAGUAACUGUGCACAUCUUGACGGUACCUAAUCAGAAAGCCACGGCUAACUACGUG